rnacentral:rRNA from 1 species
UACGUAGGGGGCAAGCGUUGUCCGGAUUUAUUGGGCGUAAAGAGCGUGUAGGCGGCCAGACAGGUCCGUUGUGAAAACUCGAGGCUCAACCUCGAGACGCCGAUGGAAACCGUCUGGCUAGAGUCCGGAAGAGGAGAGUGGAAUUCCCGGUGUAGCGGUGAAAUGCGCAGAUAUCAGGAGGAACACCGGUGGCGAAGGCGGCAUCCUGGACCAACACUGACACUGAUGAGCGAAAGCCAGGGGAGCAAACGGG